rnacentral:rRNA from 1 species
UACCAGCACCCCGAGUGGUCGGGACGAUUAUUGGGCCUAAAGCAUCCGUAGCCGGUUCUGCAAGUCCCCCGUUAAAUCCAGCUGCUCAACAGAUGGGCCGCGGAGGAUACUACAGAGCUAGGAGGCAGGAGAGGCAAGCGGUACUCAGUGGGUAGGGGUAAAAUCCGUUGAUCCAUUGAAGACCACCAGUGGUGAAGGCGGCUUGCCAGAAUGCGCUCGACGGUGAGGGAUGAAAGCUGGGGGAGCAAACCGG